CGCCGGCGGCUGGGACCGGCCGGGACGAUGGGAGCCCGGGGCAGAGGCGGCAGCGGCAGCGGCGGGGGCCGCAGUGGCGGCGGUGGCUGCCCGGGCGGCGGCGGGGGCGGGCGGCCGGGGACGCGGUCCGGGUAGCGCCGGGCCGAGCGCGGAGCCAUGGGCCGGGCUGGGACCGGGACCGGGGGCGCGGCGGUGGCGGUGGCAGUGGCGGGGCCGUUGCUGCUGAUGUUGCUCGCUGGGCCCCCGCCUACCGCCGCCGGCGACAGCAGGAAGAGCGACAUCAGGCUGGUGUCCGAACAUUUCUCACAGUCCCCACAGAAGCUGUCUUUCUACAGCUGGUAUGGCAGCGCCAGACUCUUCCAUUUCCGCGUGCCCCCGGACGCCGUGCUGCUGCGCUGGUUGCUGCAGGUGUCCCGGGGCAGCAGCCCUGCGUGCGCCAACGUGGAGAUCACUGUGUACUUCCGGUACGGCGCCCCUCCCGUCAUCAACCCUUUGGGCACUAGCUUCCCUGCCAAUACGUCUGUGCAGUCCCCCUUCUUCAUCAAGAUGCUGCAGAGCAACGCCUCCAUCAACAUCUCCCACCCAGCACCCGGGGACUGGUUUGUGGCCGCUCACCUGCCCCCCUCCUCCCAGAAGAUUGAGAUGAAGGGUUUUGCUCCCACCUGUGCCUACAUCUUCCAGCCCGACAUGCUGGUCGUGCGGGCAGUCGAGGUCUUUAUCCUGGAGCCCGACGUUCCCCUUCCGCAGACUCUCCUCUCCCAUCCCAGCUACCUCAAAAUCUUCAUCCCUGAGUACACCCGGGAGUUGCGGCUGGAGCUGCAGGGCUGUGUGAGCAAUGGGAGCCUGGGCUGCCCCGUGCGCCUUACCGUGGGCUCGGCCACCCUGCCCAGAAACUUCCAGAAGGUGCUCACAUGCAUCAGCCCCACCUGGGCCUGCCACCUGUUCCUGCCCUCACCCCCCGGGGACCGGUGGCUGCAAGUGACUGCCAAGAGCCUGGCGGGGCCUCACGUUUUGGUGGCUUUCAGGGCUAUAGCUGCCCUCACAGCCUGCAGGCCAUGGAAUCUGAACUCCCAGCACCUCCUGCAGAGCAGCCCAAACCAGAGCUGUAACGCCUCCACUGGUCUGCUGCCCCCGAGCCCUGGCUGCCACGGCCUGGGCAGGAGCAGCAGGGUGGGCGGUGGCCCCUUCUGCCUCGUGAGCUACCCGGUCAUUCGGGAAGACAUGGACGUGGUGUCUGUACGCUUCUGGCCUGCAGACAGGGUUUCGGUGCUGGUGCGGCCAGCCACGCCCUCAGUGAUGCGGCUGUACCUCAGCACAGGCAUGGACAGUGGGGGCUCCCUCACCAUCUCCCUGCAGGCCAAUAAGACUGCAAUUACCAACAACACCUUGGUAGCGGUCUGCCUGAACGCCGCCUCCCCCUUCCUCGGCUUCAACACAUCGCUCAACUGCACCACAGGUAUGGGCCGGCAGCAUCCGGCCAGUGUCCCCAGCCAGCCCCUCUGGCCGUCUCUGCUCAGGCCCUCCCCCUUCCCUGCAGCCUUCUUCCAGGGCCACCCCCUGUCUCUGAGUGCCGCAUCGCGCAAGGCCGACCUCAUCAUCCCCUACCCAGAGACAGACAACUGGUACCUCUCCCUGCAGCUUGUAUGCCCCGAGAGCCCUGAGGAGUGCGAGCACGCCUCGGUCCUCGUGGAGACCACCUUGUCCUUGGUGCCCUGCCUGAAUGACUGCGGUCCCUACGGCCAGUGCCUCCUUCUGCGCAGACUCAGCUACUUGUAUGCAGGCUGCAGCUGCAAGGCCGCCCCCUGGCAUCACACUGGCCCACAGGCUGGCGUGGAUGGAGCUGCACGGACAACAGCACAGCCCAGACCGUGGCCCAGCAGAGGGUGGCCACCCUCCUUCUCACCCUCAGCAACCUCAUGUUCUUGGCCCCCAUCGCUGUCUCGGUGCACCGCUCAUUCCUGGUGGAGGCCUCCGUCUAUGCCUAUACCAUGUUCUUCUCCACGUUCUACCAUGCCUGCGACCAGCCCGGGGAGGCCGUGCUGUGCAUCCUUGGCUAUGACACCCUGCAGUACUGCGACUUUCUGGGCUCUGGGGUGUCCAUCUGGGUCACCAUCCUCUGCAUGGCGCGGCUGAAGGCAGCCCAGAAACAUGUCCUGUUUCUCCUGGGCACGCUGAUCUUCGCCAUGUCCUUGCAGCUGGACCGCAGGGGUGCCUGGAACAUGAUGGGGCCUUGUCUCUUUGCCUUUGUGGUCAUGGUCACCAUGUGGGUGUACCGCUGCGGGCGCCGGCGGCACUGCUACCCCACCUCCUGGCAGCGCUGGGUCUUCUACCUCCUGCCCGGCAUCUCGAUGGCUGCUGUGGCCGUUGCCAUCUACACCUCCAUGAUGACCAGCGACAACUAUUACUACACGCACAGCAUCUGGCACAUGCUGCUGGCGGGGAGUGCGGCCUUCCUGCUGCCGCCGCGUGAGCAACACACCAAGCCCUGGGCCUGCUCGCAGAAGCUCACUUGCCACUAUCAGAUCUGUAAGAACCACCGAGAGGACCUGUACACGGUGACGUGACGUGGCCAGCUCAGGGAGCCUGGCAGCUGCGAACAUGACCUCUCUGGCCAGGGGCACGACCAAAGGAGAAGGACCCUGUCCAGAUCGAUUUCCAACUGAAUAAAAUUGCCCUUGCACUCUU